rnacentral:lncRNA from 1 species
CCUCUUUAUUUCACCUCUAAAGUUGACAUGACCACCAUGUUUGUAGUUGCUAUCACCCUUUUGACAAGUCUAUUUAUUUGACUUUUGGGACUCUUUUCCACAAAAAUUCUGAAAAUUCCCUUUGUUCUUUGUGGGCCAUUUUCUUUUCGAUCUAUUGUCCUUCUCAUUGAACCGACCUUGCAAAGUGAUCUCUGCCUUUUCCUUAUUGUUAUUCCUAUUUUCCAUCCUUUA